rnacentral:rRNA from 1 species
AAGUUGUAACAAGGUUUCCGUAGGUGACCUGCGGAAGGAUCAUUGUCGAUACCUGAACAGCAAACCGUGAACACGUGUUUAAACAAAUCGGGGCUGCGGUCCCCUCCUCGCCGGCGUGCGCCAUGCGUUGCCGUGCGGGCUAACAAAAUCGGGCGCGGAAUGCGCCAAGGAAUACACAAAAGAGCGUUCCCCUCCCCAUGGCCCGUGCGCGGAGAUCGUGGGGGAGGUUGGGAUGCCUGUCGUAUACAAAAACGACUCUCGGCAACGGAUAUCUCGGCUCUCGCAUCGAUGAAGAACGUAGCGAAAUGCGAUACUUGGUGUGAAUUGCAGAAUCCCGUGAACCAUCGAGUCUUUGAACGCAAGUUGCGCCCGAAGCCAUUAGGCUGAGGGCACGUCUGCCUGGGCGUCACGCAUCGCGUCACCUCCCUCCGCGUACAACGCUGUGGAUGGAGGUGGAUAUUGGCCUCCCGUGCGUCAUUCACGCGCGGCCGGUCCAAAUGUGAUCCCUCGGCGACCAACGUCACGACCAGUGGUGGUUGAAGUGUCAACUCGCGAGCUGUCGUGCCGCAUGAUGUCGUUCGAUCGGAAGUCACUGCAGACCCAGCGGUGCAUGCACGCAUUGCGCCUCCGACUGCGACCCCAGGUCAGGCGGGAUUACCCGCUGAGUUUAA